rnacentral:rRNA from 1 species
UACAGAGGGGGCAAGCGUUGUUCGGAAUUACUGGGCGUAAAGGGCGCGUAGGCGGCCUUCUAAGUCGAACGUGAAAUCCCCGGGCUCAACCCGGGAACUGCGUCCGAUACUGGGAGGCUUGAAUCCGGGAGAGGGAUGUGGAAUUCCAGGUGUAGCGGUGAAAUGCGUAGAUAUCUGGAGGAACACCAAUGGCGAAGGCAGCUCGCUGGGACGGUACUGACGCUGAGGCGCGAAAGCGUGGGGAGCGAACAGG